rnacentral:rRNA from 1 species
AGCGAACAUUGGCGGUAGGCUUAACACAUGCAAGUCGAGCGAGGCGUAAUAGUCGAGCGGCGAACGGGUGCGUAAUACAUGGGAAUCUACCCUGAAGUGGGGGAUAACGUCCAGAAAUGGACGCUAAUACCGCAUAAUCCACAUUGGGAAAGGGUUGCAGCGCUUUAGGAUGAGCCCAUGGCUGAUUAGCUAGUUGGUGAGGUAAUGGCUCACGAAGGCGACGAUCGGUAGCUGGUCUGAGAGGAUGAUCAGCCACACUGGAACUGAGACACGGUCCAGACUCCUACGGGAGGCAGCAGUGGGGAAUCUUGCGCAAUGGGGGCAGCCCUGACGCAGCCAUACCGCGUGAGUGAUGAAGGUCUUCGGAUUGUAAAGCUCUUUCGGCGGGGACGACGAUGACGGUACCCGCAAAAGAAGUCACGGCUAACUUCGUGCCAGCAGCCGCGGUAA